AGGCCUUUGGGCUGUAAACCUCUUUUCUCAAGGAAGAAGAUCUGACGGUACUUGAGGAAUAAGCCACGGCUAAUUCCGUGCCAGCAGCCGCGGUAAUACGGGAGUGGCAAGCGUUAUCCGGAAUUAUUGGGCGUAAAGCGUCCGCAGGCGGCCGUUUAAGUCUGUUGUUAAAUCGUGGAGCUCAACUCCAUCACGGCAAUGGAAACUGUUCGGCUUGAGUAUGGUAGGGGCAGAGGGAACUUCCGGUGUAGCGGUGAAAUGCGUAGAUAUCGGGAAGAACACCAGUGGCGAAAGCGCUCUGCUGGGCCAUUACUGACGCUCAUGGACGAAAGCCAGGGGAGCGAAAGGGAUUAGAUACCCCUGUAGUCCUGGCCAUAAACGAUGAACACUAGAUGUUGGGGGAAUCGACCCCCUCGGUGUCGUAGCUAACGCGUUAAGUGUUCCGCCUGGGGAGUACGCACGCAAGUGUGAAACUCAAAGGAAUUGACGGGGGCCCGCACAAGCGGUGGAGUAUGUGGUUUAAUUCGAUGCAACGCGAAGAACCUUACCAAGGAUUGACAUCCUGCGAAUCUCCAAGAAAUUGGAGAGUGCCUUCGGGAACGCAGUGACAGGUGGUGCAUGGCUGUCGUCAGCUCGUGUCGUGAGAUGUUGGGUUAAGUCCCGCAACGAGCGCAACCCACGUUUUUAGUUGCCAGCAUUCAGUUGGGCACUCUAGAAAGACUGCCGGUGACAAACCGGAGGAAGGUGUGGACGACGUCAAGUCAUCAUGCCCCUUACGCCUUGGGCUACACACGUACUACAAUGCUGCGGACAAAGAGUAGCGAUCUUGCAAAAGUUAGCUAAUCUCGUAAACCGUGGCUCAGUUCAGAUCGUAGGCUGCAACUCGCCUACGUGAAGGAGGAAUCGCUAGUAAUCGCAGGUCAGCAUACUGCGGUGAAUACGUUCCCCGG
rnacentral:rRNA from 1 species